CCUACGGGUGGCAGCAGUGGGGAAUAUUGCACAAUGGGCGCAAGCCUGAUGCAGCCAUGCCGCGUGUGUGAAGAAGGCCUUCGGGUUGUAAAGCACUUUCAGCGGGGAGGAAGGCGGUGAGGUUAAUAACCUCAUCGAUUGACGUUACCCGCAGAAGAAACACCGGCUAACUCCGUGCCAGCAGCCGCGGUAAUACGGAGGGUGCAAGCGUUAAUCGGAAUUACUGGGCGUAAAGCGCACGCAGGCGGUCUGUCAAGUCGGAUGUGAAAUCCCCGGGCUCAACCUGGGAACUGCAUUCGAAACUGGCAGGCUAGAGUCUUGUAGAGGGGGGUAGAAUUCCAGGUGUAGCGGUGAAAUGCGUAGAGAUCUGGAGGAAUACCGGUGGCGAAGGCGGCCCCCUGGACAAAGACUGACGCUCAGGUGCGAAAGCGUGGGGAGCAAACAGGAUUAGAUACCCUAGUAGUC
rnacentral:rRNA from 1 species